rnacentral:rRNA from 1 species
CAUGUAGGCGGAUUGAUAAGUUUGAAGUGAAAUCCUAUAGCUUAACUAUAGAACUGCUUUGAAAACUGUUAAUCUAGAAUGUGGGAGAGGUAGAUGGAAUUUCUGGUGUAGGGGUAAAUCCGUAGAGAUCAGAAGGAAUACCGAUUGCGAAGGCGAUCUACUGGAACAUUAUUGACGCUGAGAUGCGAAAGCGUGGGGAGCAAACA